GACGAACGCUGGCGGCGUGCUUAACACAUGCAAGUCGAACGGUAAGGCCCUGCUUUUGUGGGGUGCUCGAGUGGCGAACGGGUGAGUAACACGUGAGUAACCUGCCCUUGCCUUUGGGAUAACUUCAGGAAACUGGGGCUAAUACCGGAUAGGAGCUCCUGCUGCAUGGUGGGGGUUGGAAAGUUUCGGCGGUUGGGGAUGGACUCGCGGCUUAUCAGCUUGUUGGUGGGGUAGUGGCUUACCAAGGCUUUGACGGGUAGCCGGCCUGAGAGGGUGACCGGCCACAUUGGGACUGAGAUACGGCCCAGACUCCUACGGGAGGCAGCAGUGGGGAAUAUUGCACAAUGGGCGGAAGCCUGAUGCAGCAACGCCGCGUGCGGGAUGACGGCCUUCGGGUUGUAAACCGCUUUCGCCUGUGACGAAGCGUGAGUGACGGUAAUGGGUAAAGAAGCACCGGCUAACUACGUG
rnacentral:rRNA from 1 species